UGGCCCCCCCCCUCCGCCCCCUCUUUUUCUCGCAGCCCACCGCCACCUCGGUGGGGUUUGGGGGGGGAUUUUUGCCCUCCGGUACCCGCGGUAGUUGCGCAGCCCCGGGGCGCGCACGGCGGAGCUGCGUGCGGCCAGCGGAAGCGGCUGCCCUUGAUGAAGACUAACUGACAAAGACACCGCGGGCACCUCCGAAAUAGGCAGGCAUCCUGCAAGCACCGAGGGAACGGUUGCUUCCCGAAUCCUCCGACCGUCCUCCGACCCCCCAAAAAUGACCAUAAUCCGAGAAUUCACACCUAGAGACAAACCUCUACCUCUCCCUGAGCCAACUUCAUACAAAGACACACAACGCAAUCCCAGGGCAAAAAAUAUCCUCCAAGAAACCCGAACCGAACACACAUCCGUAACGCUGCGGCUUCAAAGUGGAGUUCAGCUCGGCAGUGCCGUUACCUUGUGCAGAGGAAAAUACAUCCACUUGUGCUUCACACAUGCAAGCAGCCAAGAAAUCGUCUCUCUUACCUUGCUACUCCUUCCACUUGACAUCCCAUGUCCUGUUUUAUUUAAGUGUAUUCCCUUUAAUAGUGAUUCUUCCUUAGACCACAUAAGGAGCGUGUCUUCCCUUAAAAAGACCCAAAGCAAUGAGUAGUGUGCAUCCAAAGAUUGCUGUUUCAGCUCUGCCUUCCU
rnacentral:lncRNA from 1 species